GUAGGUGGCAAGCGUUGUCCGGAAUUAUUGGGCGUAAAGCGCGCGCAGGCGGUUCUUUAAGUCUGAUGUGAAAGCCCACGGCUCAACCGUGGAGGGUCAUUGGAAACUGGAGAACUUGAGUACAGAAGAGGAAAGCGGAAUUCCACGUGUAGCGGUGAAAUGCGUAGAGAUGUGGAGGAACACCAGUGGCGAAGCGGCUUUCUGGUCUGUAACUGACGCUGAGGCGCGAAAGCGUGGGGAGCAAACAGGGAUUAGAUACCCUGGUAGUCCACGCCGUAAACGAUGAGUGCUAAGUGUUAGGGGGUUUCCGCCCCCUUAGUGCUGCAGCUAACGCAUUAAGCACUCCGCCUGGGGAGUACGGCCGCAAGGCUG
rnacentral:rRNA from 1 species